rnacentral:misc_RNA from 1 species
UCAAACUUGGUCAUUUAGAGGAAGUAAAAGUCGUAACAAGGUUUCCGUAGGUGAACCUGCGGAAGGAUCAUUAACAAACUUCCAUAUUCACCUUGUGUGCAGUUUGUAUAAAAGUUAAUAUCUUUGGAAAGAUUAUUUUUUAUAGUAAUUUUUUCAAAGAGGUUAUCAUAAUCAAUCUAUUCUUUUUUUUUUUUUACUGAGAUUAAAAAAUAAAUAUAUAAAAAAACUUUCAACAACGGAUCUCUUGGCUCUCGCAUCGAUGAAGAACGCAGC